CGCGGGGACGACCCUGCGGCUCAAUCGAGUUUUCAAUCUGGGGACGGCCCCG
rnacentral:ncRNA from 1 species